UGCAGUCAGCAUCAACCAUUCAUCAGCCAUCUCUUUUAAGUAGUGGUGCUAGCCCCAGCCAUUCAAUUCAAUUCAAUUCAGGCAUUUCAUUUUGCAAUUGCAGUUGCAGCCUUUCUUUGAGUAGGCACCAAGGAGAAAAAGAGAGGAGCAAUGGAAGGAAAGGAGGAAGAUGUUAAGCUUGGAGCAAACAAGUAUUCGGAGAGGCAGCCACUGGGAACGGCUGCCCAGACUAGGGAAAAGGACUACACAGAACCAGGGCCUGCACCCCUGUUUGAGCCAGGGGAGUUCAAGUCAUGGUCUUUCUGGAGAGCAGGAAUUGCAGAGUUCAUGGCAACUUUCCUCUUCCUCUACAUCACCAUCCUCACUGUCAUGGGUGUGAAAAGAUCAAAUGAUAUGUGUUCAACCGUGGGAAUCCAAGGCAUUGCGUGGGCAUUCGGAGGAAUGAUCUUCGCUCUUGUUUACUGCACAGCUGGAAUUUCAGGUGGGCACAUCAAUCCGGCUGUGACUUUUGGGCUCUUCCUGGCGAGGAAGCUGUCACUGCCACGAGCUGUGUUCUAUAUGAUAUGCCAGUGCUUGGGCGCCAUCUGUGGAGCAGGAGUAGUGAAGGGUUUCGAGGGCCACCACAACUAUGAAAUGCUCGGAGGUGGAGCCAAUUCGGUGGCUCAUGGCUACACCAAGGGUGACGGUUUGGGUGCUGAGAUUGUGGGCACCUUUGUUCUCGUCUACACCGUUUUCUCUGCCACUGAUGCCAAACGAAGCGCCAGGGAUUCCCAUGUUCCGCUUUUGGCACCCCUCCCAAUUGGGUUCGCUGUUUUCCUGGUCCACUUGGCCACAAUUCCCAUCACAGGAACAGGCAUCAACCCUGCUCGGAGCCUUGGAGCUGCUAUUAUUUUCAACAAGGACCACGCCUGGGAUGAUCAGUGGGUUUUCUGGGUUGGUCCCUUCAUUGGCGCUGGACUUGCAGCAAUCUACCACCAGAUGAUCAUUCGGGCCAUCCCAUUCAAACGCUCUUAGAAAUGAUUAUAUCAGCAGCAGGGGGCUUGUACUUGUAGAUAAAAUGGUUGACCUACGCUGUUUGAGUCUAAAGUUUGGGGUUUUGAUUAUUUCUGGAAUGGGUUAUCACCGUGCUUUAGUUUCCCUCCAUGGUGGAGGCACCUACUAUGUUACAAAUAAAUUGUACAAUACACUAUCCGUUAUUAAAUUUGAACAUGUAACUUCCUUUAAAGAUUA